rnacentral:rRNA from 1 species
UACGUAGGGGGCAAGCGUUAUCCGGAUUUAUUGGGUUUAAAGGGUGCGUAGGCGGAUCGUUAAGUCAGUGGUCAAAUUGAGGGGCUCAACCCCUUCCCGCCAUUGAAACUGGCGAUCUUGAGUGGAAGAGAAGUAUGCGGAAUGCGUGGUGUAGCGGUGAAAUGCAUAGAUAUCACGCAGAACCCCGAUUGCGAAGGCAGCAUGCCGGCUUCCGACUGACGCUGAAGCACGAAAGCGUGGGGAUCGAACAGG